CGCAGCCGCGGGAAUACGUAGGUGGCAAGCGUUGUCCGGAUUUAUUGGGCGUAAAGCGAGCGCAGGCGGUUCCUUAAGUCUGAUGUGAAAGCCCACGGCUCAACCGUGGAAGGUCAUUGGAAACUGGGGAACUUGAGUGCAGAAGAGGAGAGUGGAAUUCCAUGUGUAGCGGUGAAAUGCGUAGAUAUAUGGAGGAACACCAGUGGCGAAGGCGACUCUCUGGUCUGUAACUGACGCUGAGGCUCGAAAGCGUGGGGAGCAAACAGGAUUAGAUACCCGCGUAGUCCCUGUCUCUUAUACA
rnacentral:rRNA from 1 species